rnacentral:rRNA from 1 species
GGUAAAUUCGUUCGAGUAGGCGCGGGAAUACGGAGGGUGCGUUCGUGAAUCGUACGUACGGGGCGGAAAGCGUGCGCAGGCGGUUUGAUAAGACAUGCGUGAAAUCCCCGAGCUUAACUUGUGAAUGGCGCUGGUGACUUGCAGGCUAGAGUAUGUCAGAGGGGGGUAGAAUUCCACGUGUAGCAGUGAAAUGCGUAGAGAUGUGGAGGAAUACCGAUGGCGAAGGCAGCCCCCUGGGACGUCACUGACGCUCAUGCACGAAAGCGUGGGGAGCAAACAGGAUUAGAUACCCGAGUAGUC